AUGGACAACCAUUCACAUUAGUGGAUUCAGCUAUUUCAGCCACACCUGUUGCUGGCAGGUGUAUAAAAUCGAGCACACAGCCAUGUAAUCUUCAUAGACAAACAUUGGCAGUAGAAUGGCCUUACUGAAGAGCUCAGUGACUCUCAACUUGGCACCAUCAUAGGAUGCUACCUUUGCAACAAGUCAGUUUGUCAAAUUUCUGUACUGCUAGAGCUGCCCCGGUCAACUGUAAGUGCUUUUAUUGUGAAGUGGAAACGUCUAGGAGCAACAACGUCUCAGCUGCGAAGUGAUAGGCCACACAAGCUCACAGAACGGGACCGCUGAGUGCUGAAGAGUAUUGUGUGUAGAAAUCGUCUGUUAAUUUCUGUGGGUUCUAAGUGACCUCCCCCAGACCGAGGUUUCACAACUGGAAGGCAUUAAGUCACCGGCCGUAACCCCACCCCUCCUGUAGGUUAGGUUACCUGGACGCAGAGUUGACUACCGUUGUCGUUAAUCCAGUAGUAUUGUUUUGGAGAAAGUCACAGUACAGCCACACCGAAAAAGGACGGUCAAGAAAGGUCUUGUUGAUUAUCGAGGCCGGAAGUGUUGGAAAGAUUUUUCAAAUACUGAGGAACUAUCUUUCGCAAUGGAUAUUAAAAAACAGACUUUGUUGACUUGUGUGAGGCGAAGAAAAAAUGAGUGGUGUACUUGGUCCUCAGUCCUCUUCGUCACAGGGGCUAGCUGCUCACCAGUCUGAAGGUACCUGAUCUUGCUAUUCAUAUUAUCUGAGGUGUAAAGGGAGAAAUGCUCUACAAUGUUUAUCUAAAAAAACCUUCUGUUUCUGUCAGCAAGUUACCAUGGGUGUGUUUCACUAUAAUUAUUGCUUUCAUGCAACAACUAUCAACACAACCAUUUGUUAGAUUUAAUUCAAAAAAAUGUUACAAGUAGGAUAUAGAAUUAACGGAGAAAUGUGACAGAAAAUGUAACGUUAAUGGAAAGUGUUUUUUUUUAUACCUUCAUAUAUACCUGUUUUAUACCUGUUUUUUUUUUAUACCUUCAUACCUGCUAGCAAGUAGGUGAAAGUGAAUCCUUGCAAUCAAAACACUGUCCAACUGGGAAAGUUCACCGUUAGCUAGCCAUGAACAAACUUGUCUUGUUCACUCCAUGUGUUCACUUGUGAAACAUGUCAGUUAACUGAUUAAGAUUGCAUGUGGUUCAUUCCUCCAGCAGUAGCUAACUUCCAAAUUGCUAUUUUAGCGCUAGUAAUGCUACUACAUAUGGCCAGUUGCAGUUUGUGGGAAACAUUGUUGUAAAGGGGGCUUCCCUUUGCCCUUGCGAUAGUUUCCCAUUGGGAAUAUCUAGCCAAGUCACUGUAUCUGGAUACGUUUCCCCAGUUGAGAUGUGGGCGCUACUUACUUUAACUGAAAUUCUACAUUUGUGUAUUGUGCUCAAUUUGCAACAGAACCAUCAAGACCCUGUUCCCAUGCCUCUUCCUCAGAAGAUUUUCUGGCAGCAGUCCACAGUAAUUUAAAGUAUUCCACUGUACACUUUUUACUGCAUACAGUCUAUUAGAAAAGCAAAGUCUGGCUACUACCAGCAUCAAUUCUGUAAAUAUAAUUUAAAUAAAAAUAAGAAGUAGUCUUAUUAGCUGCUUUCUUAGGUAGUUAUUUUGAAAAUUCUCAUCUCAAACAACUCAAUCCUCCUCAUCACUGGGCCCUGCUGCUCGUCAGUCUGAAGGUAACUGCAAUAUGUGCUUCUUAGUUGUAGUGUGAGGGGCUCCAUAAUUACAUAAAAUGGAAUGUUAUACAGUUAUAAAUUAUAAUAAUUUUACAUUUACUGUAAAUGACAGCAGCUUACACUGGCUUACGGUGUCAGCAUUGGUUGUGCAUGUUUGGCCCGUGCGUCCCAUAACUCAGCACCUGAGGAAAUUGGCAGAGGAUGUCAGAGUUGCAAUACCAGACCAAAGUAAACAGGAACCUCUUAAUGCAACUGACCAAUGGGUCUCAUGGGGACAUGGUUCUGCCAGAGGACAUUGUGCUUCCUCUGAAGGACAGGCUAAUGCUGGAGGAGCUUGAACAUCGGCUUGCUGGGAAUGAGGAGCUUCAGGAUAAAUUGUUAAUUGUCAAGAACAUGGUAUCACACUACAUACAGUUGACACCAGAAGUUGUUGGACAGCGACACUUUUUUAUCAUCGUUAGAGCUCUGUCUAUGGGAUUUAAAUAAAGUGCAGACUCUUGGGGUAUUGUACAUGUUAAGUAAUUGCGUGCUUAUAAAGUCUGACUCGGAAGAACUCCCCACUGCAUUUCUUUGGAGGGACUUUAAACCUGUAGUUUCACUGCUCUAAAGACCACUAAAUAUGGACAAUUUAUUUUACAGGUGAGGUUUUUGGCUGCUAAAGAGGGCAAGUCCGUCAGACUGAGUGAGGAGGAUGUUUACCUGCAUGUUCUCCAACAACCUGUCCAGGCUUUGUAACUGGACUGGUUUGGGACAAUAGAUCUCUUUCAGGCAGCUAGCUUUAAAAAGCAUUGUUCACAGAGCGAUAUGAAAUAACCCCUCUACAAAAGAGGCAACAGAGGGGAACUUCCAAGAGGUGGUGGCAACAUUUCUGAAGGGAACUGCGAAGGGGGUAGGAAAGAAAGAGGCCAAUUGAAGAGGCUCAAGAAACAAUUUUCUGUUUGUCUGUGUAUAUUGUAUUGUACAUACUCAUUAUUUCCUAUUCUAGGACAUGAUUUUCUGUAAUAACAAUUAAAAAGCCUAAAUCUAUAAAUAUACACUGCCGGUCAAAAGUUUUAGAACACCUACUCAUUCAAGGGUUUUUCUUUAUUUGUACUAUUUUCUACAUUGUAGAAUAAUAGUGAAGACAUCAAAACUAUGAAAUAACACAUAUGGAAUCAUGUAGUAACCAAAAAAGUGUUAAACAAAGCUAAAUGCUUUUCCAACAGUCUUGAAGGAGUUCCCACAUAUGCUGAGCACUUGUUGGCUGCUUUUCCUUCGCUUUGCGGUCCGACUCAUCCCUAACCAUCUCAAUUGGGUUGAGGGGAUUGUGGAGGCCAGUUCAUCUGAUGCAGCACUCUAUCACUCUCCUUCUUGGUAAAAUAGCCCUUACACAGCCUGGAUGUGUGUUUUGGGUCAUUGUCCUGCUGAAAAACAAAUGAUAGUCCCACUAAGCCCAAACAAGAUGGGAUGGUGUGGUGUAUCGCUACAGAAUGCUGUGCAACUCAUGCUGGUUAGGUGUGCCUUGAAUUCUAAAUAUAUCACAGUGUCUCCAGCAAAGCACCCCCACACCAUAACACCUCCUCCAUGCUUUAUGGUGGGAAAGACACAUGCGGAGAUCAUCCGUUCACCCACACUGUGUCUCACAAAGACAUGGCGGUUGGAACCAAAAAUAUCCAAUUUGGACUACAGACCAAAGGACAAAUUUCCACUGUUCUAAUGUCCAUUGCUCGUGUUUCUUGGCCUAAGAAAUCUCUUCUUGUUGGUGUCCUUUAGUAGUGGUUUCUUUGCAGCAAUUCGACCAUGAAGGCCUGACUCCCGCAGUCUCCUCUGAACAGUUGAUGUUGAGAUGUGUCUGUUACAGUUCUUGACAUUUUCCAGAUUGACUGACUUUCAUGUCUUAAAGUAAUGAUGGACUCUUUUCUCUUUGCUUAUUUGAGCUGUUCUUGCAAUAAUAGGACACCAAUAAGAAGAGAGUUGCUUGGGCCAAGAAACACAAGCAAUGGACAUUAGACCGGUGGAAAUCUGUCCUUUGUUCUGAUGAGUCUAAAUUUGAGAUUUUUGGUUUCAACCGCCGUAUCUUUGUAAGACGCAGCAAAGGUGAACUGAUUAUCUCCGCAUAUGUGGUUCCUUCGUGAAGCACGGAGGAGGAGGUGUGAUGGUGUGGGGGUACUUUGCUGGUGACACUGUCUGAUUUAUUUAGAAUUCAAGGCACUUAACCAGCAUGGCUAACACAGCAUUCUGCAGCAAUACACCAUCCCAUCUGGUUUGCGCUUAGUGGGACUGUCAUUUGUUUUUCAACAGGACAAUGACCCAAGACAUCUCCAGGCUGUGUAAGGGCUAUUUGACCAAGAAGGAGAGUAAUGGAGUGCUGCAUCAGAUGACCUGAAACAAAGUCCUUUCUUCUGAAACUCAUCAGGCUAUUCCAUGCGAGACAUUGCCAAGCAACUGAAGAUCUCGUACAACGCUGUGUAUUACUCCCUUCACAGAACAGUGCAAACUGGCUCUAACCAGAAUAGAAAGAGGAGUGGGAGGCCCGGGUGCACAACUGAGCAAGAGGACAAGUACAUUAGAAUGUCUAGUUUGAGAAACAAACGCCUCACAAGUCCUCAACUGACAGCUUCACUAACCUCCAGGCUGUGUAAGGGCUAUUUGACCAAGAAGGAGAGUGAUGGAGUGCUGCAUCAGAUGACCUGGCCUCCACAAUCACCCGACCUCAACCCAAUUGAGAUGGUUUGGGAUGAGUUGGACCACAGAGUGAAAGAAAAGCAGCCAACAAGUGCUCAGCAUAUGUGGGAACUCCUUCAAGACUGUUGGAAAAGCAUUCCAGGUGACUACCCCAUGAAGCUGGUUGAGUGUGUGCAAAGCUGUCAUCAAGGCAAAGGGUGGCUACUUUGAAGAAUCUAUUAUUUAACAUAUUUUUUGAUUUGUUGAACACUUUUUUGGUUACUACAUGAUUCCAUAUGUGUUAUUUCAUAGUUUUGAUGUCUUCACUAUUAUUCUGCAAUGUAGAAAAUAAUACAAAUGAAGUCAAAUGAAAACUUUUGACCGGUAGUGUAUAUAUAUUUAUUUUAUUAUUAUUACUAAUUGUUUAAUAUUUAGAUAUAUAUUUUUUUAAAUAUAAAAUGCUAAUUCAUCAUUACCAUGUAUUCAAUGUAGAUAUUUUUAUAUUGUAAUAUAUCGUAUUAUGUUCUACAAUACACUUAUUACACAACGAUUAAUGAGAGUGGUGUACAUUAUUUUGGAUGCAUUAGUGUGUGGAAAGAUACUGACAAUA